rnacentral:lncRNA from 1 species
AUGCAGACACGGGCUGCCGGCGGACGGGCCUGUAAUUCAGGGGUCCGACGGAGCGAACAGCCUGGCGACAGUACAUGUGGGAAGGUUACAAAGCCUGUUUCCCACUUGUCCUUGAAGCCGAGAACCAAUGAGCGCUCCGAAAGUCUCAUCGGCUCAAUUCCGGCUUUCCUGGAGUCCGGCAGAGAUGGUCCUCCAUCUUCCCAGAGCACGAGCAGCAUCUUCGUGGACUACGAUGACCUUGUCAGCGAUCCGGAGGCCGAAGGCGCAUCAGGAGAGCAUGAAGGGUGGCCUGACAGAGGACUUCGAGAGAACAGGAGCAGGGCGGCCAGAAGGGCCCCUCCUUUUCUGACCUGCUUUCACCUGCUCAUCACAUCUGGGGACAACGUGUGUCUGGGAGGGGGGUUGGGGGCGAUCACCCUGAAGUCUCACGAUCCCGACACGCUCCCACUACACUGGGCUCCGUUGGCCAUUUCUCGGUACAGGGAUGCCUGCGGCCCGGCCCCAGAUCUGCACCUGCUCUGCCUUCAGAAAACUCCCUCUCCUCCUUCCCUUGACUUCAGCCGGCCGCUGGAGCCGUCCCUGGUUCUCAGCGUUGUUCGGGCCACGACUGCCCCGUCUCCGGACCUGCUCAGCUCCUUCUGCCGCUGUGGCCCAGGCUGUCCUACAUCCAGGCCUGCUCUGCCUCUUCUCUUCCACUGUCCUCUGGCCUUUUCACGUUUUCCCCUUACCUCACUCUGGCCAUUUCAUUUCCUGGCCCUCAUCCUGGCUCUGUGCUCUCAGGUCAGCCAGAAAAGGACACGGAUAAACAGAGGAAUCAGGAGAAGAGACGGCAGGAGGCCAGAUCUGGAGAGCUCGUCCGAUUGUGAGGAGAGCUGGAGGGAGCCUGAGAGGAGGUGGAACCCUCAGCAGAUGAGGGUGGGCGUCGGGCGAGUUGGAGAACGACGGAGAGACAGAGAUUUCUCAUGUGCUCCCGAGCCCGCGGUGCGUCAGAGCUGGACAGACGCAGGACAGAAUGGACACAGGACAGCGUCCAGGUCUCCUAAGUGCCGUGGGACCCAAGCUGAGAACGAGUGUGCUGCAGCAGGGCC